rnacentral:rRNA from 1 species
UACGGAGGGUGCAAGCGUUAUUCGGAAUUACUGGGCGUAAAGCGCACGUAGGCGGCCUUGUAAGUCAGGGGUGAAAUCCCACGGCUCAACCGUGGAACUGCCUUUGAAACUGCAGGGCUUGAAUCCUGGAGAGGGUGGCGGAAUUCCUGGUGUAGGAGUGAAAUCCGUAGAUAUCAGGAGGAACACCGGUGGCGAAGGCGGCCACCUGGACAGGUAUUGACGCUGAGGUGCGAAAGUGUGGGGAGCAAACAGGAUUAGAUACCCUGGUAGUCCACACCGUAAACGAUGGAUACUAGGUGUCGGGGACUUGAUCUUCGGUGCCGUAGCUAACGCGUUAAGUAUCCCGCCUGGGGAGUACGGUCGCAAGGCUGAA